GACGAACGCUGGCGGCGUGCUUAACACAUGCAAGUCGAACGGAAAGGCCCUGCGUUUGUGGGGUGCUCGAGUGGCGAACGGGGGAGUAACACGUGAGUAACCUGCCCUUGACUUUGGGAUAACUUCAGGAAACUGGGGCUAAUACCGGAUAGGAGCUCCUGCUGCAUGGUGGGGGUUGGAAAGUUUCGGCGGUUGGGGAUGGACUCGCGGCUUAUCAGCUUGUUGGUGGGGUAGUGGCUUACCAAGGCUUUGACGGGUAGCCGGCCUGAGAGGGUGACCGGCCACCUUGGGCCUGCGAUACGGCGCAGUCUCCUACGGGAGGCAGCAGUCGGGAAUAUUGCACAAUGGGCGGAAGCCUGAUGCAGCAACGCCGCGUGCGUGAUGACGGCCUUCGGGUUGUAAACCGCUUUCGACUGUGCCGAAGCGUGAGUGACGGUAAUGGGUAAAGAAGCACCGGCUAACUACGUG
rnacentral:rRNA from 1 species